rnacentral:rRNA from 1 species
UUCGCUAAAGAGUUCGGGCGGCUUUUGGCCGUUAAAUCUUUUCAAAGGUUGACCUCGGAUCAGGUAGGGAUACCCGCUGAACUUAAGCAUAUCAAUAAC